GAAUGUCAAUUUUUUUUUCGGAAUUUCACGAAAAAAGUCAAAAUGUCAAGAAAGAAGUCGGAACUUCACGAAAAACUAUAAAUGUCAGAAAAUGAGUCGGAAUAUCACGAAAAAAGUCAAAAUGCGAGAAAAAAAGUUGGAAUAUCACGAAAAAAGUCAAAAUGUCGGGAAGAAAGUCGGAAUAUCACAAAAAAAUCAAAAUGUCCCGAAGAAAGUCGGAAUAUCACGAAAAAAGUCAAAACGUCCCGAAGAAAGUCGGAAUGUCACGAAAAAAGUCAAAAUGUCAGGAAGAAAGUCGGAAUAUCACAAAAAAAUCAAAAUGUCAGGAAGAAAUUCGGAAUAUCACGAAAUGAAGAGAAUUAAGUUGAAAUCGAUUUCCUGAAAUGAUUAAACACGUAGUCUAAAAAUAUACAUGAACAUGUUGUAUGACAGUGUUU